AGAGUUUGAUCCUGGCUCAGAAUCAACGCUGGCGGCGUGCCUAAGAAAUGCAAGUCGAGCGGGGGGCAGCAAUGCUCCCAGCGGCGAACGGUCGCGUAACACGUAAGCAACCUGCCCCCAGGACCGGGACAACAUCUCGAAAGGGGUGCUAAUACCGGAUGGAGUUGGAGGGUGGCAUCACUCCUUCAACCAAAGCGUGGCAACACGGCCAGGGGAUGGGCUUGCGGCCUAUCAGCUAGUUGGUGGGGUAACGGCCUACCAAGGCGACGACGGGUAGCUGGUCUGAGAGGACGGCCAGCCGGACUGGGACUGAGACACGGCCCAGACUCCUACGGGGGGCAGCAAUUAGGAAUCUUGCGCAAUGGGCGAAAGCCUGACGCAGCGACGCCGCGUGGAGGAGGAAGUCCCUCGGGAUGUAAACUCCUUUUGUCAGGGACGAAGGAUGUGACGGUACCUGACGAAUAAGCCCCGGCUAACUACGUGCCAGCCGCCGCGGUAAUAC
rnacentral:rRNA from 1 species